UGGAACCAGAUUUUCAAAGUCUCUCACCAUUUUAUUGUUUGGAAUUUCAGCACCAGAUAGCAGUUUGGGAGCAUAAACUAAAGCAGACAAAGACGAUUGUAUACAGGAGGAGGGUUCCAAUUUCAACCAAGCCGGGGCACUAUCCAAAUCCUUUGCCUUUGACCAGUAAAUAAGAAUUCUAAUAUUGGAUGCCCAAUAAUAAAACAUAAAGUCCGGCAGUGCCAUUCCACCCACACCUUUUGGUCUCCUCAGAUAUGACUUACGAAUUCAAGAGGGUUUAUGACCCCAAAUAAAUCCAGUAAUAAUUUGGUCCAAUUUACUGAAAAAAAGAAACCGGGAUAAAAACAGGGAUACACUGAAAGAAAAAAGAAAAUUUGGGAAGCACGUUCAUUUUAAUCGUAUUAAUUCUCCCAGCAAACGGAUAAAUGAAGCAAAGACCAUCUAUCCAGGUCCUGUUUGACCUUGUCCACCAAUGGUUCAAAGUUAAAUUUAAAAAGUUCGCAGAAUCCACUCUUGACCUUAACCCCUAAGUAUGUAAAACCAUCAAGGGCAAUGAAGGGAAGAGAAACAAGUGAAUAUUUUCGAGCCACCGAAUUUAUUGGAAAAAUUUCACUUUUACCAAGGUUUAGCUUAUAGCCAGAUAUGAGGCUAAAAUGAUCAAGAGUUGAAAGUACAAUAGGAACUGAAGUGGCUGGUUUAGAAAUAUAAAGAAGCAAGUCAUCGGCAUAUAAGGAAAGCGCUCUGGUUUUUUUCCUUAAAAUUGUUCACUUUGGUCGUCUGGCCAAUGUUAAAUUUCCAUUGGCAAGUCUUAGGGUCAGGGUUUGGAGGGAAAGCAAACUCUGCAGUUCUAUUUGAACAUUGAGGGAUGUAGCAUCUUUUGUUCAGAAAUCAAGUUUUUAAUAGGUAAUUAGGUAGAUACAUUUUUACCAGCUGGUAUAGUGAAUUGACUCUAUAUAAAUUAUCUUAAAUAAAGGAUCAAUGUAGCUUCUUAUAAGUUAUUGUAGCCUGUGCUACAAUACCUUAUAACAAGUUUAUAAUCAGUCGUUCUGGACGAAUCUAGGAGCAGAUUGUUACCCUGAUACGACUUUUUAACCACUGGCAGAUUUUAAUGACUGUAGCAGUCAUCCAACCAUUGUCUACAUGGAAGACUCUAUCAGGUCCCCACCAGGUGGUCUUGGAGGUCUUUUUGGGGGUUUUCAUUUUUGAUUAUAUUUCAUUUGAAAUAUAAUCUGUUAUUUAUACAACCCAAGUCUGUGUUAUUUUAGCAAUGUUUCUGUCAUGUUUUGAUUGGUUCGGCGAACCCACAUGCGCAGAACACACUCAGGAGGGAGACGUAAAUGCGGUGAGAUUUAUUGCAACAACAAAAUGUGAGGUAUGUUGUGGAGCGGAGGUUGUAGGGAGAGGAGCAGGCGACGGCGUUGCAGGAGGGCGGAUUGGAGGAGCGGUUCUCAGGAGCCACACGGAGGAUCAGAGCUCACGGUCUCGAUGAAUCUCCUGGCCAACGGGAAUCCAGGUGGAACAGACUGCCAGGAGAACACGGAAACAGGGCCUGAAGGCGGAUGACAGGAAAACCGUUAGGAAACAGAAGUACUCCUCCCGAUGAAGUAAGUGGCCACAGGUGUGCAGGAGGAACCACCAGUCACGCCCCCCUGCAGUGUCACGACGCCCCCUGGAGGAGAAGCUGAAGACGCAUCUCCAGAUUCACAACAUAAGGUUUAUCCCAUGCUGAAAUAAAAUGCUGAUCCAUCUAAAGUUUGGUGAAGUUGGAGGAUACUUCUCAUGAAGUAUCAUGAGAAAGUCAUUGAACGAUUUUGCCUGCCACCUGAUGCCAAAGUUACAUUCAAAGAUGCAACAGAUACUGAAGUUGACAAAGAAAUAUUCAGGGACCUCCUUAGACAAGGAGGUACUGACAGUUUUCUGCUAUGAUGAGUUCUCAGAAUGGUCAUCUGCUUCUGACUUUAGCUUCAACUCAAAUGCAUCAACAUCAACAAUACUAAUGGAUGAGAUGCCACGCAAGAAGCAAAAAACUGAGAAUCCUGAUAACUGAGUGUCUGCUAAAAAUCUGGUUGAAGGUGUCCUACAAAGCAAGUCUGGUGGUGAAGAAAUUCUGCAGGAGUAUGAAACUACAGAAACCCUAACUGAUGCCACAAGAAGACAAAUGGUGAACAUACUGGUGGCUCACAUGAUUGAUGAACACGGGCACCUCCCCACUAAAGCAAUCAGAGAGAAGUAUGGCUUUGGAAUAGUGACACUUUCCCAUCCCUCAAGGAUCCAUACACCAAAAAAGGCUAUGAGCACUUUUAUGAUGCACCAAGCAGCACUGGAUACAUUUCAAGGCAUCUUAAAAUGGUCCAAAGGGAGCUUAGGACCAUUUUGUGCCACCAAAUAGCACCAAUUACAUUUCAUAUGGAGGCCCAAAUAUACAGAGAACUGUGAUUGUUGAAAAACAGCUUGAUGGGAAUGCCUGCCAGGAGGCCAUAUCUCUGCUUAACCACACCACAGACACGUCUGUGAUCUUUGAGAAGAUGAGAGAGACUUUUGAGCACCAUCACAAGCUUAUUAAAGAUGCCAGUGGAAGAAAUGAUAUCCUGACAAUGUUCCCAGGGUUCCUGGACACAAAAGGAUUGAUUGAUCAAGACUUCAGUUGAAGAAACCUCAUCCAGACUGCUGCAGAAGUGGGAUGUGUUCUUCAAACCAAAUGUCAUCAAGGAGGCUAAGCGUUUCACUUCUACACCUGAGUUGAGAAGUUUGGUGCAGUCAGCGAAAAGUCUUCAAAGCGAUGACCUCGCUAACACAUCUAACUAUGACCAAGAAAUUACCUCGCUGUUACUUCUUACAUCUUCUUCCACCGCAACCAGGAAGACGGAAGUCUCCAAAAAUCAGUGCAAGUGAUGCAGUUGAGAGACUUGUUGUCUUUCAUAAGUCAUACUGCAGUUUGGAGGAGGAUCUCCGGGGUCUGCAGCCAUACCUCCUUGCUGUUGGGCGUCAGAAAAGAAAGAUUGACAGCUUCUACAUCAUCAUGAAUAAGUGCCUCAUCCCAUGCCAGACAAACAGUUCUCUUGGAGCAUUUGAUGAGCUAUUGAAAGCACAUUUAGUGUUUAAUGUCUCUUAUGACGCUGCAAUGAUGAAUUUCUAUACAUUUCUGCAGACAACAGUGUAUAACAUUGACGUGGGCAAAAUGAAGGAAUCGCCCAGAGUUAGGGACGUGAGAGCAAGGCUGCUAAACCAUGUUGACCUGUUUUAUAUGUCAAAAACUGUAUCCAAGCGGAUGCAUUUGAUCAUCAUCAUCAUGCUUUCAGAAUUGUUCAAAGUGAAGAAAGGCAUUUAGUAAAAAUCCCUGAACUUAAAUUUUAUAAGCCUUUUGAUACUCAAAACUCUUAUGGCGUUUCUAAUGAAUGUUUGAUCAUUGUACCACAAUUUAAAAUGUU